CAGGUCUGAAGACACGCUAUGAUGUGUGCUUCAUCCGUCCUGUUAUUCUGAGCCCAGGAGGAAGAGAUGUAAGAGAGCGUUAUGACCAAUCUUCCCAGUGUGACGUGUGAAAAACGGUGGUGUUCUCCAUCAACACCUUCAUUACUUCGCCUGCGUGAUGCGUCCGCCCACCUGCCAGGCCUCGGUGAGUGACUCUGAUUGGUGAGGAACAGGCCAUGUGUGGGCGCAGAGGUGUCAUUCUCAUAUUAGUGGCUCUCACACUGUGUGUACCUACACCCCGUGGUCUAUUCCAUCACUCAGAGAGGAUGAUGAUGAUGAUGAUGAUGAUGAUGAUGAUGGUGCCCACUUAGAGAGGCUUUCCAUCUCCUCUACUGACCACAACAUACCUUUUCCCUAAAACUUGAAACAGGAUGCUAAGUGACACUUUCAUCCAAUCAUGUCAUCCAACCCCCAGCCUCGGAGGCAGAUCGCUCUUGCAGAUGGUGCUGUCGACAUCCAGGUUUAUUUAAAGUAAACCUCCGAAAGACGUGCUCAGGUGGACCAGACACUGGCUCUCUGUACUGCACGCUUACCAAAACAUACUGAAUCCGGAUAAAAACUUCUCCAGAUGGUUCGACAUUUCUGUGGUCAUCCGGUUCCUAACGUACCUGUGUCAGGUAUUCAGUGUUCCUCAGUGCUUGAGAAAGAGCAGACAUUUUUAAGUUCACAAAGACAGAUUUAGGAAGAAGUGAACUACACACAGGUUAGGAUCGCCAGUGCAGCAUCAGGUCAGAACCUCUAGAUAUCCUCUAGAUAGAGAUUUAGUCAGCAAAAUAUCCCUGGAUCUGACAGAACACUAUCUAGCAAGAUUUAAGCUUUUUUGUUCACUGGAGAAUAUGGAAACCUUACAUCUAUAUCUGCUUCCUUCUCAACCUGUUGCCAAAGUUAAAAGGACACAGUUGGUUCACUGGAACUAAAAGGUUGUUCCUGUCUCUGUGCUCAAGACAUAGCUUGCCAAGGUUGGAGUAGAAGAACUCUGACCUCAACCCCAGUGAACACCUUUGAAGGGAAUGUAGUUGGGUGAGAAAAUGGUUUUUGAGAGAAAAUGCCUGGUCUAGGGUUACCAAUCUACCUGGAGCCAGGUCUGGGGAGUGGUGUCCACAUCCAAAUGCUUGGUAACCAACUGGUCCUGACUGGAUUUAGCCCAAAGUGGCAUUUCGUUGGUUAACCAGCUGCAAAAUGAAGAGCUGAGCUGUAUAUAGACACACUCAGGUGGAUAUGUUAUGAGAGAAAUUCCUCAUGCUUUUAGUGCAUCAAGAUGUUGCAGAAGUGUUUUCAUAUGCUGGUUCACGGUGAGAGAUUGGUAGCAUUAACUCACAUUUACAUUUAUGGCAUUUGGCAGAUACCUUUAUCCACAGUCACUUACAUUUAUACAACUGAGCAAUUGAGGGUUAAGGGUCUUGCUCUGGGGCCCAACAGCAGCAGCUUGGUGGAGCUGGGAUUCGAGCUCACAUUAUCCCCAGCUCUCAAUACCUCACACCUCCAGGGUCCCUGUUAUGCUUGAGUUACAGUCUGGGAAGAAAUUCUCAUUUCCUUUGUAGGUAUUCAUGGAGCCUUGUCGUGGACUUGAGUCCCAUCCUGAGUGAAUUCCCGUCUCGCUCUGACUGUUUCCGGGAUUGGCUCGGGAUCUGCCGUAAUCCUGACUAAGAUAAAGCAGUUACCGAAGAUGAAUGUAGAUGUGAAGACAGAUAGCAACGAGGCAGAUUUAGUCACUUCCCCGCUUCCCAUGAACUGAAGGAUCACUCGGAUCAGGGGAACUUCAGGAAGUAGACCAGAAAAGAGAGAACGUAAACACCUUCUCAGUGAACUUGUCAUGAGAGCAGGUACGUCGAGAUCACCUGUGGAUUUUGAUUUGUUGAUUUCUUCAUCGCUCCCAGAAACAAUAAUGAAAAGAAAAAUGACUCAUUUUAAUGCUCUUCUCUAUGUUCUGUGAAACUGCAGAAGUCAUUUCAUGUCCACCUGUUCUCCAUAAAUUUUUUCAUUACCUCUGAAUCAAUCAUCUAUAUAUCCUAAUCUGAUACGAGCAGCAGCUGGGAGUGUCUGGUGUGGACUCUGGCUAUGUUACAGAAAAAAAGCACCAUUAGAACACACACUAAUCAUGUGCACAUUCUUUCAAAGUACGCAUCAUUCGGUCAGUCCUGAAGCUUCUUUCCAACAGCAGAAAUCUUCCUGAGUCUUUAACCGUCUUUUUAACACAACAACUGUUGCAUUGUCCAGUGAGCUCCAAAAGUGUCCAGGUGCCGUGAUUGAUCACUAACAUCAGCCAGUUUCGGGAUGUAUCCCACAAUGCAUCUGGGAGCUGUAUUCACUCCAUGAACAUAGUUCUUUAAUAAUUCCCUGAAGCCCAUCUGGAGCUGUUGGCAGGAGCGUUUCACUCUUCAAGAUGUGGUAAAUGUUGACCAAAAGUGUGAUAGAUGCAGAGCUUUUAUAGACAUGCUGCCUGUUCUUGAUGCUGUUUAUUGUUCAACACUUCAUAAUCAAGUUCAUAACAAUGUUCCUAACGAGGACUGCCAACUCAAUCUGUGAGCAAAAAUAAUUUUAAUAAUUUAUUUAAUUUAAUUUUCGAACGACCUGCCAAAAUGUUGCUGU